CACGUUUGUCACCUUCAACCUGGUUAUAAUCUCAUAGUGAGAGGAUAAGCUUGUCAACAGACACAAAAAGGCGAUAUCCAAUAGUCCGAAGUUCAAAUGUUUCCCUGGGCACGUGUAAACCGAAUGAAAGAUCAACUGACCAAUCAUAUGUCAACAACGAACACGCAGAACAAACGUCAAUGUGAUAAGGGAGUUCACUUUGACAAAUAUCCCAACAAAGAGCAAUGUCUUGUUACCGAGAAAGAAAAUUUCCACCCACCCACCUGUUCAUGUUCCUGGUAUCUGGUGCAUUGUAUGGGUGCUAACUAAUGUAUGCGAGGACUAUCAAGAACAAUUUGUCAAGAAAGACAACACACAAUUUUCUCAUAGAAAAUUAUCGCUAUGUAAAUACUUAUAAAUUGGUUUAUGUUGAAAC